UUAGCAGACGUAUUUACACUUUUUGGUUUAUAAGAUUCAAUAUCUUGAAAAACAUCUUCAAGAGUAUUAUGAACUGUCGGAUCCUCAACAAGUUUAAAAGCCAAAGCAUCAACGUAAUGUGAUGUUAAGUAAGGUGAGCGCAACACGCUUUUAGAUUUUGGUUUAUAAGGAGGUAUUAUUAUAAGAUUAGAGCUAUUUACAACUCCUCUAUUAGAAUCAGCGUGAAUACUCCUUAUAUUUAGCAACCCCCAUGAAGUCAGCUUUUGAGCCAAGCACCUGCAGUUUAAGGCGUUGAUAUUACGAUUCAAUAAUGAUCCUUUUACCAUUUGUUUACAUGGGGUUAGUAAAUUUAUAAAGAGAUAAUCUCUUAGGAGCAAUGAUGAGUCACCUUGGUGAUUGAAAAAAACACGGUGGUACCCG